AAAUCCAAAAUGAGAAUACACUAAAGCUCACAUGACUGGGAGAGGAGCUGGCUGUCUGACAGUGCACUUAUGAUUUCAGUUUUGGCUCUAAUUAUUGCUUUAUAAGCUUAUUUUAUAACUGGGUCGAAACCGACCCUAACACCACAAAGGUAACAAUUUCAACCAGAGCAUUUUAUAAUUUAGUGAAAAAAUUUUUUUUUAUAUUAUUUUGUUGAAAUAGAGGUUCCUGACAAAGUCAAAAAGCCUUGAUGCAAUAAACGCAUUUUUGUGGUAGUUCUAUGAAUUUAAAACCUAAGAACGGGUCGGUGGCGACCCUAACAACAGACGA